UUUGUGAACAUAUUUAGCGUAUUUGCAGAUCCGUUUUACACUUGCAAAUGUAUUUGUGAGUUUGCAAAUCUUUUAAAUGCAUUUGUGGAUAGUGUUUUACAUUUACAAAUCACAUAUUUACACACAAAUUAUGUUUAUGUUCACACAAAUAAUUAUGAGACAUAUCUAUGCCCAUGGUUCACCUUCACCAGAGACAGGCAGGACAGCGACCAAGAAGUGCAGUUAAGAAUGCUUCUUCAUGGUGAGAUGGAUAGAUUUGAUGACACAACUGUGUCACUCUUAAAAGGUUUUGGACGAGAUGAGCCGAAUUCUAGAGGCAGGCAACAAGAACUUCACUGACCAGAUCAAAGCCGGAUGGGAAAGCUUUUGCGAAAAUGCGCUGUUCUUUGGAGUGUGGAACAAGUCGUUGAAGCCACCAAUGCAGGGAUGCAAACUUGUCCCCUUCCGCGAAAUUCGCCGUUUUGAAUCCAAAAUAGGUUGUGUGUGUGAUUCAUGUAGAUCUGCAAUACAAAUAUUUUUGGGGUAUGGGGGGGGUCUGGGACCCGGAGUAAUCUGCGGCCGCGAUGAUGGUCUAGCUUCAGUGCUCAGCUACAUUACCUAUGGGUGCGUUUGUUAAUAUUAACUGUGGUCCGGAGUCACUGUGGCACAGACUGGACCGCUGGUGAACUGCUGUUAGAACGGGCCGUUCAGGUGUUCAGAGCAGGACUCCCUGUCGGAGCGGCAGAGCGUGA